rnacentral:lncRNA from 1 species
UUUUUCCUUUUUUGGUAUUUUAUUUAAUUUUUUCUCUUAAUUUAUUUUUCAUUUAUUUUUAUUUUUAUUUUAAAAAAUUUUUAUAAAGUUCAAAAUUUUUUAUUUUUAUUUUUUGAAUCUUUUUUAUUUUUUUAUUUUCUUAUUUUUUUUGCUAUUUUUUCUACUUUGUAAUUUUUUAAUAACUUUUUCCCUUCACAAUUUUCCUUCUUUUUGCUUUUUUUUUUUCAUAUGCUUUCAUUUUUACUUGUUUUUAUUUUUCGUUGUUUUAAAAAUUUUUAUUUUUUGUUUUUUAUUCCAAAUCUUUUGUCUUUUCAUUUUUAUUCUUUUCUUGCUUUUCUUUUUUUUUUUUCACAAAUUUCCUUUCAUUUCUUAUUUGCGUUUUUAAAUUCUCAUACUUUUUUUUUAUUUUGCAUUAACUUUUCUCUUUUUUAAUUUUUUGGCUGACUUUUUAUAUUGUUAGGUCUUAUAUGUUUUUCAAUUUUUUGUAUUUUUUAAACUAAUUUUUUUUUCAUUUUGUCAUUCCAUUUCAUUUUUGAAUUUUUUAUUCAAUUUUUGUCCUUUUUUAUUUUCUUACUUUUUUCUUUUUUUGUGCUUUAUUUAUCUUUUUUCUUUUGCUCUAAUUUUUUUCUUAUUUUAUUUUUUAUUUUCUUUCUUUAUUUAUAGUUUCAUAAAUUUUUAUAAAGUUUUGGAAUUUUUUAUUUUUCUAUCUUUUUUUCUUUUAUCAUUCUUGGUUAUUUUCUAUUGCAUUUUUAUAAUUUUUCAUUAACUUUUUCUCCUUUUAAAUUUUUCUCCUUUUUUUUUUAUGUGCUUUCAUUUUUUUUUGUUCACUUUUUUCUUUGUUUUAAAAUUUUCUAUAAAUUUUUUUCUUUUUGUUUUCUUUCAUAUUUUUGCCUCUUCAUUUUUUAUUUUUUUCUUCUUUUUCAUUUUUUUUCUCAAAUUUUAUUUUAUAUAUUUUGUAUUUUCGUUUUUUAUUUUUUCUUGCUUUUUCUUAAAUUUUUUUGUUCACACUUUUUUUUAUUUCUUCUUUAUAUUUUAUAUUUUUUAUUAACUUUAAUUUUAUUUUUCAUCUUUCAUAUUUUAUAUCUUUUUCCUCUAUUUGUUAUUUUUUUUCUUUGUACAUUCUAAACUAAAAGUUUUUUCCAUUUUAUAUUUGAAAUUUUUAUUCAUUUUGUCUUUUUAUAUUUUUUUGAUUCGCUAAUUUUUUAUUUUCUUACUUUGUUACUUUUUGCUUUUGUUUAUUUUAUUUUUCCUUUUUUGGUAUUUUAUUUAAUUUUUUCUCUUAAUUUAUUUUUCAUUUAUUUUAUUUUUAUUUUAAAAUUUUUUAUAAAGUUUAAAAUUUUUUAUUUUUAUUUUUUGAAUCUUUUUUAUUUUUUAUUUCUUAUUUUUUUGCUAUUUUUUCUACUUUGUAAUUUUUUAAUAACUUUUUCCCUUCACAAUUUUCCUUCUUUUUGCUUUUUUUUUUUUCAUAUGCUUUCAUUUUUACUUGUUUUUAUUUUUUCGUUGUUUUAAAAAUUUUUAUUUUUCUGUUUUUUAUUCCAAAUCUUUUGUCUUUUCUUGCUUUUCUUUUUUUUUUUCACAAAUUUCCUUUCAUUUCUUAUUUGCGUUUUUAAAUUCUCAUACCUUUUUUUAUUUUGCAUUCACUUUUCUCUUUUUUAAUUUUUUGUCUUACUUUUUAUAUUGUUAGGUCUUAUAUGUUUUUCAAUUUUUUGUAUUUUUUAAACUAAUUUUUUAUUCAAUUUUUGUCCUUUUUUAUUUUCUUACUUUUUUCUUUUUUUGUGCUUUAUUUAUCUUUUUUCUUUUUUUAUUUUCUUUCUUUAUUUAUAGUUUCAUAAAUUUUUAUAAAGUUUUGGAAUUUUUUUUCUAUCUUUUUUUCUUUUAUCAUUCUUGGUUAUUUUCUAUUGCAUUUUUAUAAUUUUUCAUUAACUUUUUCUCUUUUCAAAUUUUUCUUCUUUUUUUUAUGUGCUUUCAUUUUUUUUGUUCACUUUUUUCUUUGUUUUAAAAUUUUCUAUAAAUUUUUUUCUUUUUGUUUUCUUUCAUAUUUUUGCCUCUUCAUUUUUUAUUUUUUUUUCUCAAAUUUUAUUUUAUAUAUUUUGUAUUUUUGUUUUUUAUUUUUUUCUUGCUUUUUCUUAAAUCUUUUUGUUCACACUUUUUUUUAUUUCUUCUUUAUAAUUUUAUAUUUUUUAUUAACUUUUAUUUUAUUUUUCAUCUUUCAUAUUUUAUAUCUUUUUCCUCUAUUUGUUAUUUUUUUUCUUUGUACAUUCUAAACUAAAAGUUUUUUCCAUUUUAUAUUUGAAAUUUUUAUUCAUUUUGUCUUUUUAUAUUUUUUUGAUUCGCUAAUUUUUUAUUUUCUUACUUUGUUACUUUUUGUUUUUGUUUAUUUUUAUUUUUUCCUUUUUUGGUAUUUUAUUUAAUUUUUUCUCUUAAUUUAUUUUUCAUUUAUUUUAAAAAAUUUUUAUAAAGUUCAAAAUUUUUUAUUUUUAUUUUCUUAUUUUUUUUGCUAUUUUUUCUACUUUGUAAUUUUUUAAUAACUUUUUCCCUUCACAAUUUUCCUUCUUUUUGCUUUUUUUUUUCAUAUGCUUUCAUUUUUACUUGUUUUUAUUUUUUCGUUGUUUUAAAAAUUUUUAUUUUUCUAUUUUUUAUUCCAAAUCUUUUGUCUUUUCUUGCUUUUCUUUUUUUUUUUCACAAAUUUCCUUUCAUUUCUUAUUUGCAUUUUUAAAUUCUCAUACUUUUUUUAUUUUGCAUUCACUUUUCUCUUUUUUAAUUUUUUGUCUGACUUUUUAUAUUGUUAGGUCUUAUAUGUUUUUCAAUUUUUUUGUAUUUUUUAAACUAAUUUUUUUUUCAUUUUGUCAUUCCAUUUCAUUUUUGAAUUUUUUAUUCAAUUUUUGUCCUUUUUUAAUUUCUUACUUUUUUCUUUUUUUGUGCUUUUUUUAUUUUCUUUCUUUAUUUAUAGUUUCAUAAUUUUUUUAUAAAGUUUUGGAAUUUUUUAUUUUUCUAUCUUUUUUUCUUUUAUCAUUCUUGGUUAUUUUCUAUUGCAUUUUUAUAAUUUUUCAUUAACUUUUUCUCCUUUCAAAUUUUUCUUCUUUUUUUUAUGUCCU